UACAGAGGGUGCGAGCGUUGUCCGGAAUCACUGGGCGUAAAGGGCGCGUAGGUGGCGGCCCAAGUCCAUGGUGAAAGCUCGAUGCUCAACAUCGAGUCGGCCACGGAUACUGGGUUGCUCGAGCACUGUAGGGGCAGAUGGAAUUCCGCGUGUAGCAGUGAAAUGCGUAGAUAUGCGGAGGAACACCGAUGGCGAAGGCAAUCCCCUGGGCCUGCACUGACGCUCCAUGCACGAAGGCGUGGGGAGCAAACAGG
rnacentral:rRNA from 1 species